rnacentral:rRNA from 1 species
UACGAAGGGGGCGAGCGUUGUUCGGAGUUACUGGGCGUAAAGGGCGCGUAGGCGGCGCUCCAAGUUAGGCGUGAAAGCCCCGGGCUCAACCUGGGAAUUGCGCUUAAGACUGGAGUGCUCGAGUGCGGAAGAGGUGAGUGGAAUUCCCAGUGUAGAGGUGAAAUUCGUAGAUAUUGGGAAGAACACCAGUGGCGAAGGCGGCUCACUGGUCCGCAACUGACGCUGAGGCGCGAAAGCGUGGGGAGCAAACGGG